rnacentral:misc_RNA from 1 species
GAACGCACAUUGCGCCUUUCGGUAUUCCGGAGGGCAUGCCUGUUCGAGAGUCAUUAACAACCAGUUCAAUCCCCUUUUAGAAAUACUUCGCGGAUUGGUUAUUGGUGAAUGAGGGGAUCCGUGCAUAACGUACGUUGAAUCUCCUCACCACCGAAAUUCAGAGGCGGUUUGUCCCCACGUGUUUGUGGCGUUGUAAAAGCUUUACCAGCACUAUUCGCUCGCAUCGUGGGUCCACUGCUUGCCAUUGGAGAAAUCCCCAUUCAUCAAAGGUUGACCUCGGAUCAGGUAGGGAUACCCGCUGAACUUAAG